GACGGAGGAUGCAAGCGUUAUCCGGAAUUAUUGGGCGUAAAGCGUCCGCAGGUGGACAUACAAGUCUGCUAUCAAAGUGCAGAGCUUAACUCUGUAAAGGCGGUGGAAACUGUAGGUCUUGAGUAUGGUAGGGGUAGAGGGAAUUCCCGGUGUAGCGGUGAAAUGCGUAGAGAUCAGGAAGAACACCGGUGGCGAAAGCGUUCUGCUGGGCUGCGACUGACACUGAGGGACGAAAGCUAGGGGAGCGAAUGGG
rnacentral:rRNA from 1 species